UACAGAGGUCCCAAGCGUUGUUCGGAUUCAUUGGGCGUAAAGGGUGCGUAGGCGGCGCGGUAAGUCGGGUGUGAAAUCUCGGGGCUUAACUCCGAAACUGCAUUCGAUACUGCCGUGCUUGAGGACUGGAGAGGAGACUGGAAUUCCUGGUGUAGCGGUGAAAUGCGCAGAUAUCAGGAGGAACACCGAUGGCGAAGGCAGGUCUCUGGGCCACUACUGACGCUGAGAAGCGAAAGCAUGGGGAGCGAACAGG
rnacentral:rRNA from 1 species